UCACAGUUUGCCUAGCGCUAAACGAAAAAAAGUUAACCAUAAAUCGAUAUGGAAAACGGAUUGGAACCAUUUUGCUAUUGCCCUGAACGUGCAAACGUGGAAUUAUCGCAGUUUUUCGAAAUUGUUACUGAAUUUGUACCUAUAUGUCCCAAUUCACGCCAGAACCAUGUGGACUAUUGAGUUUUCCUGAUGAAAUGGAAUCGCCAGGACAUAACAUACCAAGAAAUCGCCAGGACAUAACCAAGCAUCUAGCUGCAGUUUUUCGUAUUCCAAUUCAAUCUGCUGUAAAGGAACUGUUACCACAGUGGCCUACGACUGAAGAAACGUGGGCUUAGGACAGGAAAAAAAUCUGUAUUUUGAAGAAAGGCGCAACAUCCUGAAUUCGGUAAUAUUAUUUGAAUGCUUUAUAUACCUUUAUAAAAUAUCUAUUUUUAUGUAUACCUUUUUUGCAUUUUCGGGCAUUUUAUCGUCUAUCGGAUAAUAAUUAUCGAAAGACGAUCCUUUAACACGUUGAGUUCCACGGUUUUACAGCGACUCUGGAAAUUUUUAAAUGUAUUAUGACCAUCGUUUCUUAUUGUAGUUUAAGGUAUUUUUGUUCAAAAGGGAAUGGUUAUAAGCUUAUAUUAGUUACCUUUAUUAUCGUAUGCUAUACUGUCAGUCACUUGUGAUUGACGCAGCCUGAGCGAAAAUUCGGAGUCAGUCACCGGUGACUGACGUGGCAGACAACGUGUUGAUCAACGAUACUUAACGAACAGGAAUACGGUUACUCAGGAUUAGAACGAUGUUAAAUGACGUCACUAUGAAAACUUUUUCUGUUGAUGGACCACAAUUCGACCGUCGUUUUUUUAAAAGUAUGUGGUACUGUAUAAUUCGAAAAAUUAUAAAGUUCUGUUGUCGGGUACAGUGAAAUAAGGUAAUACUUUUACCCACCGGAAAAUACUUUUAGCUACUUUUAGCUUUUAGCCACUGGAAAAAAUAUUUACGAUUAGUUAAGUAACCGGUGUUAUGAAGAGAAAUAAACGUAACAUGCCCAAUCGAUUCGAACACUGCCGUCGCGUUAUUCGGAAAAAUUAAAUAAAAGAGGAAUUCAACCGGUUCCUUUUGAGGCAACC